rnacentral:rRNA from 1 species
UACGUAGGGUGCAAGCGUUGUCCGGAAUUAUUGGGCGUAAAGAGCUCGUAGGCGGUUUGUCGCGUCUGCUGUGAAAACCCGAGGCUCAACCUCGGGACUGCAGUGGGUACGGGCAGACUAGAGUGCGGUAGGGGAGAUUGGAAUUCCUGGUGUAGCGGUGGAAUGCGCAGAUAUCAGGAGGAACACCGAUGGCGAAGGCAGAUCUCUGGGCCGUAACUGACGCUGAGGAGCGAAAGCAUGGGGAGCGAACAGG